CAAUAGCGUAUAUUUAAGUUGUUGCAGUUAAAAAGCUCGUAGUUGGAUUUCGGUUGAGAGCGACCGGUCCGCCGUUUGGUGUGCACUGGUUGGUUUUAACUUCCUGUAGAGGACGUGCUCUGGGUUUAACGACCUGGACUCGGAGUCUACGUGGUUACUUUGAAAAAAUUAGAGUGUUCAAAGCGGGCUUACGCUUGAAUAUUUCAGCAUGGAAUAACACUAUAGGACUCCUGUCCUAUUUCGUUGGUCUCGGGACGGGAGUAAUGAUUAAGAGGAACAGUUGGGGGCAUUCGUAUUUCAUUGUCAGAGGUGAAAUUCUUGGAUUUAUGAAAGACGAACUUCUGCGAAAGCAUUUGCCAAGGAUGUUUUCAUUAA
rnacentral:rRNA from 1 species